UAGUAAAUAUACUAAAACCCACUCAUAUACUAAAAUAAAGACAAUACAGAGAACAUUGUAUGAUCCCUGCUAAAGGAUGACACGGUAAUCCAUGAAGUUUUCCACAUUAUU